rnacentral:lncRNA from 1 species
CCUCUUGCUGAUAUAACAAAUACAAGUGGUCUCGGUUUCACUAAUAGACCGGGCAAGGGUAGAGCCAAGUCGUUAUGUGUUGUUCGAAGAAACGACGAAGAGUGUCACGGCUCUAAAGAAAACACUCCAACUGCUUCAAAUGUUACGCCUAAUAGUCAACCAUUUGCGGAUGACCGCGAUACGUCCUUCAGUACACCCAGCAAUUUGUCCAUGUGCACAGGUUCGCAUGGAGAUGUUACUAACCUUACCCAUGCUAAAGUUGUAAGAAAGCGUGCUAGAAACUGGUACGCAUCAUUGACCCAGGAGAAAAAGGAUGAGAGGAACAAGAAGGACCGUGAGAGAAGAAAACGAAAGAAGGAGGAAAGUCAUGUUUUAAAUAAGUCUGCUACCAAUAGUGAUGUAGCCCCACUUUGCGAGCUUUCCAAAAAAAGUGCUGCUGAUUUAAUAACGUGCCAAUUGGAAGUGAACGAUUCUUCUACAUUGCAUCAAGGUAAGGCCAACUCAUCUCAUUAUUGUUAUAUAUGUACCCUUGGAUGA